UGAGUUUGAUCCUGGCUCAGGAUGAACGCUAGUGGUAUGCUUUGACACAUGCAAGUUGACAAGUUAAAUUUAUAUUAAGAUUAUUUUAAUCUUAGAUAUAAAUACUAGUGGCGAACGGGUGAGUAACACGUGAGAACCUACAUUUUGGAUUGGAAUAGGCUCAAGAAAUUUAGAAUAAUACCAAAUACGACAUUUAUUCUUUGUGAUUUUAAAUCAUAAGUAUAGAAUAAAAGUAAAACCAAAAAAUGGGCUUGCGGCUAAUUAGCUAGUUGGUGAGGUAAAAGCUUACCAAGGCGAUAAUUGGUAGCUGUUCUGAGAAGAAAAUCAGCCACAUUGGGACUGAGAGACGGCCCGAACUCCUACGGGGGGCUGCAGUGGGGAAUAUUCCGCAAUGGGCGAAAGCUUGACGGAGCAAUACCAUGUGACUGAAGAAGGGUAGAUCGUAAAAGUCUUUUUUUAGAAAGGAAAAACAUGACGUUAUCUAAAGAAUAAGUAUCGGCUAAUUCUGUGCCAGCAGCCGCGGUAAGACAGAGGAUGCAAGCGUUAUCCGGAUUUAUUGGGCGUAAAGAGUCUGUAGGUGGUUUUAAAAGUCUUUUGUUAAAAACCAGGGCUCAACCGUGGGAAUGCAUUAGAUACUUUAAAACUAGAGGGCGAUAGAGGCAGAGGGAAUUCUCGGUGUAGUGGUGGAAUGCGUAGAUAUCGAGAGGACCGCCAAAAGCGAAAGCACUCUGCUGGGUCGAUAAAGAAAUUUCAAUGAAAAAAGGUAUACCCUGACACUGAGAGACGAAAGCGAGGGGAGCAAAUAGGAUUAGAGACCCUAGUAGUCCUCGCUGUAAACGAUGAGGACUGGAUAUUGGAGGAAGGUUACCUUUAAAACCCAUUCAGUAUUUAAGCUAACGCGUUAAGUCCUCCGCCUGGGGAGUACGGUCGCAAGAUUGGAACUUAAAGGAAUUGACGGGAGCUUACACAAUUGGUGGAGCAUGUGGUUUAAUUCGAUGUUACACGUAAAACCUUACCGGAGCUUGAAUGGUUUAUCUAUCUAUUUUUUAAUCGAAAUAGUUUAAUUGCGAUAACUGCAGGUGGUGCAUGGUUGUCAAGUUCGUGUCGUGAGAUAUUGGGUUGAGUCCCGCAACGAACGGAACCCUAGUCCUUUUUUUGUUUUGUAAGUAAAUAUUAAAAAAUAAGGAGAGAGCCUGUAAUAAGGAGGAAGUCUAGGAUUUCGACAAAUCAUUAUGCUUCUUACGCUCCGGGCUACACAUGUGCUACAAUGGUUGAUAUAAUGAAUUUUAUUUAUAAAAUCAAUCAUAGUUCGGAUUAUAAAAUGAAACUCUUUUAUAUGAAGUAGGAAUCAAUAGUAAUCGCAGGUCAGCUAUACUGCGGUGAACCGUAACUUAGCUUUGUACAUACCGCCCGUCACACCCUGGAAAUCGGUUUUAUUUUAAGGUAUUCUUUCAACAUUUGAAAAAAUGAGAAAAAUAUUUAUAGUAAGAUUGAUAACUAAGGUGAAGUCGUAACAAGGUAGCCGUACUGGAAGGUGUGGCUGAAUGUAAA
rnacentral:rRNA from 1 species